AACUCCGAGAAAUCGGAGCUAAUACCGGAUGCGAUCAGGGGCUGGCAUCAGCUCCUGCUCAAAGUCGGGGACCGCAAGGCCUGACACUACCAGAUAAGCCCGCGGCCUAUCAGCUAGUUGGCGGGGUAACGGCCCACCAAGGCUAAGACGGGUAGCUGGUCUGAGAGGACGACCAGCCACACUGGAACUGAGACACGGUCCAGACACCUACGGGUGGCAGCAGUCGAGAAUUUUUCACAAUGGGGGAAACCCUGAUGGAGCGACGCCGCGUGGGGGAUGAAUGGCUUCGGCCCGUAAACCCCUGUCAUUUGCGAACAAACCUGGUGGUUGAACAAACUGCCAGCUGAUAGUAGCAGAAGAGGAAGGGACGGCUAACUCUGUGCCAGCAGCCGCGGUAAUACAGAGGUCCCAAGCGUUGUUCGGAUUCACUGGGCGUAAAGGGUGCGUAGGCGGUGGGGUAAGUUGAGGUGAAAUCUCCGGGCUCAACCCGGAAUUGCCUUGAAGACUAUCCUGCUAGA
rnacentral:rRNA from 1 species